rnacentral:lncRNA from 1 species
CGCUUUGAAUUCUAUCUUGACGAAUCCGACUUGGAAUAGAUGCAUAGUAGCUUGCGAAAGAAACCAAACGAGAACACGGAAUUUGAGUCCGUCCGCCUUAACUAAUCGCAACAACAUGUCGAGGUUGCCUUGUCGGAUUCAAUCUUGGACAGGGACUCGCAGCUUCUGCGGAUGGAAUCGCCCGUGAUCAAAUUGUUUUCCCAAAAUUCUCGACUCUACUUCGAAUUGUAACUCGGCGACUUGUUUCUCGCCGAGUAGAUUGAUUUUGAAGAUGAGGUCUUUCAAGGUCGCCCGAUGAUCUCAACGAUCA